GUAAAGCACUUUCAGUAGGGAGGAAGGUAGUGUAGUUAACACCUGCAUUAUUUGACGUUACCUACAGAAGAAGCACCGGCUAACUCCGUGCCAGCAGCCGCGGUAAUACGGAGGGUGCGAGCGUUAAUCGGAAUUACUGGGCGUAAAGCGCAUGCAGGCGGCCUGUUAAGUCAGAUGUGAAAGCCCGGGGCUUAACCUCGGAAUUGCAUUUGAAACUGGCAGGCUAGAGUCUUGUAGAGGGGGGUAGGAAUUUCAGGUGUAGCGGUGAAAUGCGUAGAGAUCUGAAGGAAUACCAGUGGCGAAGGCGGCCCCCUGGACAAAGACUGACGCUCAGAUGCGAAAGCGUGGGGAGCAAACAGGAUUAGAUACCCUGGUAG
rnacentral:rRNA from 1 species